UACGAAGGGGCUAGCGUUGCUCGGAAUUACUGGGCGUAAAGCGCACGUAGGCGGAUUGUUAAGUCGGGGGUGAAAUCCUGGAGCUCAACUCCAGAACUGCCUUCGAUACUGGCGAUCUCGAGUCGGGAGAGGUGAGUGGAACUGCGAGUGUAAGAGGUGAAAUUCGUAGAUAUUGGGAAGAACACCGGUGGCGAAGGCGGCGACCUGGUCCGAUACUGACGCUGGAGGCGACGAAAGCGUGGGAGCAAACAGG
rnacentral:rRNA from 1 species